rnacentral:rRNA from 1 species
UACGUAGGGGGCAAGCGUUGUCCGGAAUUAUUGGGCGUAAAGAGCGCGUAGGCGGUCCGAUAAGUCGGCUGUGAAAGUCAGGGGCUCAACCCUUGGAAGCCGGCCGAUACUGUCGGACUAGAGUCCGGAAGAGGCGAGUGGAAUUCCCGGUGUAGCGGUGAAAUGCGCAGAUAUCGGGAGGAACACCAAUGGCGAAGGCAGCUCGCUGGGACGGUACUGACGCUGAGGCGGCG